AGAGUUUGAUCCUGGCUCAGAUUGAACGCUGGCGGCAUGCCUUACACAUGCAAGUCGAACGGUAGCACGGGGGCAACCCUGGUGGCGAGUGGCGAACGGGUGAGUAAUGCAUCGGAACGUGCCCUGGGUGGGGGAUCCGUAAGGGAAGUUACGCUAAUACCGCAUAUUCUGUGACCUGAGAGCAGGGGAUCGCAAGACCUUGCGCUUUAUGAGCGGCCGAUGUCGGAUUACCUAGUUGGUGGGGUAAAACCUCACCGAGGCGACCAUCCGGAGCGCGGCUGAGAGGAUGAUCCGCCACGCUGGGACUGAGACACGGCCCAUACUCCUACAGGAGGCAGCGAUGGGGAAUUUUGGACGAUGGGCGCCCGCCUGAUCCCACCAUGCCUGGUGAAUGAAGAAGGUCUUCGGGGUGUAAAGCUCUUUCAGCGGAAAAAAAAUUGCACUCAUUAAUACCGGGUGUAGAUGACGGUACCCGCGUAAGAAGCACCGGCUAACUACGUGCCAGCAGCCGCGGAAAUACGUAGGGUGCUAGCGUUAAUCUGAAUUACUGGGCGGCAAACGUGCGCAAGUGGUUGUGUAAUUCAGAUGCGAAAUCCCCGGGCUCAACCUGGGAACUGCAUUUGAUACUGCACGGCUAGAGAAUAGCAGAGGGUGGUAGAAUUCCACGUGUAAUGCUGAAAUGCGUAGAGAUGUGCAGGAAUACCGAUGGCCUAAGCAGCCCCCUGGGCUAUUUCUGACACUCAUGCACGAGAGCGUGACGAGCAAACAGGAUUAGAUACCCUGGUAGUCCACACCCUGAUCGAUGUCUACUAGAUGUUGGAAGGGUUAAACCUUUUAAUGUCGUAACUAAUUCGUGAAGUUGAGCAC
rnacentral:rRNA from 1 species